GCAGACACUGCUGCCUAUCUGAACAUCUGGUAACAAUUAGGAAUUUAAGAGGAUGGCUAAAUAUUCUCUUUUAAGCAGCUGAACUAUUCAAGCAAAUCUUCUUGCUUCUUUACUUGCCCUAACCACUGCAUUUUUCCAAAGCAACAUAAGCCCAAGUCAUUCUCAUGCAAAGUCCGGAGUCACCUUGAAACUGAGGGAAAGAAACAACUUCCCUCUCUGGGUUAGACAAGCAAAAGCAAUAAAGCUGGAUGCUGUGAACGUGCUAAAACCAACACUGAGACUGUCAUUCCUUGUGAAAUCCCCUCACAGUUUCACACACAGACCGUAUAAGGCAGCCAAGCAAGAAGCCCUCAGUGGCUCCCGGGAUGGCUCGGUGGGACAGGAACCACAUGCCAGCAGUUUGCAGCACCAGGGCAUCUCCAGAAGCAUGAUAGCUACACAGGUCUACAAAACCAGAAUGCCAUAAAAUACUCUUAAUAAUCCUCCUCACACAGCCAUGAAGUCUGUAAGCAGCUACAGGUAAAAGAGCUGGAGAGAGCAGAAGCAGUAAAUAGUUGUUUUUGUCACUUGAGUCAGCACAUAUAAUUCUUCACACACACAGGAACUAUCUUCGCCGUGGAAGAAAAUACCAUUUGCACAAUAACUUUUCACAGUGGAACUGUGCCUUAAAUCAAACAAGCAAGUACUGAGUCACCUCUGCAGCACAGCAACAACAAUUUGAUCUGCUACGUGGCAAGCUUUGGUUUGAAGAUACUAAACAAUUCCUCAUCCCAGGCCUGG
rnacentral:lncRNA from 1 species